rnacentral:lncRNA from 1 species
CAAGAGUGUGCUGUGGUGAAGGCGAUGUGUAAACUGAUGUUUUUCAUUCGUUUUCUCAUUCAUUCCAUUGUCCCAAGAGCCUGCGGUGUAGGCAGGUUCAAUUAUAUCACCAUCAUCACCACCACCAUCACCACCACCAUCACCACCAUCAUCAUCACCUCCAUCACCACCACCAUCACUAUCACCACCACCAUCAUCAUUACCAACAUCAUCACCACGACCAACAUCAUCACCACUACUCACUCACCACUACCACCAUCAUUAGUACCACCAUCAUCAUUAUCACCACCACCAUCAUCAUCGUCACCACCAUCGUUACCACCACCAGNNNNNNNNNNCACCAGCAUCAUUACCACCACCACCAAUAUCAUCAUCACCACCAUCACCAUCAUCAUCACCACCACCAUCACCAUCACCACCAGCAUCAUUAUCACCACCACCAAUAUCAUUAUCACCAUCACCAAUAUCAUCAUCACCACCACCACCACCAUCAUCACCACCACCAUCACCAUCACCAUCAUCACCACUACCACCAGCACCAUUAUCGCCACCACCACCAUGAUCAUCAUCAUCACCACCACCAUCACCAGCAUCAUUAUCACCACCACCAAAAUCAUUAUCACCACCACCAUCACCAUCACCAUCAUCAUCACCACCACCACCACCAUCAUCAAAGGGAAGUGACUAAGGGACAUUGGCACUUAAUGAGCUCUGCAUCCCUCAACAUCAGGAACCCAUGACCACAGCCAUGUUGUCAGUAUCAUUCAGACCUAUUUGUGCUUUUGUUCCUUUCUCCUGCUACGUAUUCUUUUGAUAUCUUUACUUUUUUGAGUAAAAAGAGUUUUUAAAGGAAAUGUGUAAAUAUUAAAUACAUUUUAAAAAUGAUGUAAUGGUGAUGAUGCCACCACCCACCAUGCAGUGGUUUUCUCUUUGCUUAUUCCUUUUCAUGUGCAUGUCUAUGCCAUUUUGCAUUCUUCCAUUUGGACAAAACAUAUUGCAUUUUUCCAUUUGGACAAAAUUUCCUACGUUUGUUUUACUUGCAGUAAAAUGCACAAAACAUACAAUUUACCAUCUUAACUGUACAUUUUUAUGAGUACGGUUCAGUGGCAUUAAGUACAUUCACAUUGGUGUGCUACCAAUAGUACAAUCCAUCUGCAGAACUCUUUUCAUUUUGCAAAACUGAAACUCUGUACCCAUUACACAACUCCCCAUACCUCUCCCCCCCGAGCCUCUGGCAACUACCAUUCUACUUUCUGUCCCUAU